CUCAUGACUUCUAAAUCUGCUGGUCUGUUCCAGCCGGGUUUGACAGAGAGGUGAUAGUUUACAUCCUGAUGGAUUUCCCAAGGCAGCCUCAACUGAGGAAUAAGCAGGAGGAGCUUGGAGACGAGAUCCAGGGCCUAUCCUCAUCUCUGUCACACUUAUAAAUCUGGAGAAAUUCCACUUGUUCCUUGAGGACACACAAGGAUUUUAUUACAGCAGUGUUGAAAACUGGAAUCUGGCACAUCAUAUUAACAUAAAAUGCAAGGGAAAAAUACCCAUCAACAAGCAAAGGGCAAUACAGAAAAUAGGUUUGUUACGAGCAAAUUUGAUGUGUUUGUUUUCUUCUUCUUUUUUUUUUCCUCUGCAUUAAUGCCAUCCAGGCCUCUCCCAUAUAUUCUCGAGGAAAUGACUUCGUUAUAUCAGAGAAAUAUAUUGAAAAUGAAAUCAGUGGUAGCACCAAAUGUGCCCAGACAUGACAAGACAUUUAAGUAACAACAGCAGAAUUCUAUCUCCUUUCCUGUUUGUUCCAUGUUAACUUAUGGAGAUUGGUGCUGACUUUCUGGAAUGGCUGCAGCAAGCUGUAAAUGAUGUAUGAAAAUGAAAUGAAAAUUCUCUGCCCAAGCCACUGUGCACAGCAAUUGCUGCUGAGCUGAAUUAAUAGCUAUUUGCUCCUGUUUGCUCUGACACGGGAUGGAGCCAGAGAAGCCAGUAGCAAAGAUAUUGGAGUACCCAUCCACAGGUAUCCUGGACAGGACUCCUGCUGAUCCUUCACUCCAUCUUCAGUGGUGCAGUCCCUUCAGAGAGGUGAAAAGGAGGAGACACAAAUGUUUUCAGCCCUUCCUGGAAAAGCCCAAGGGGUUCACUCACAGAAUCAUAAAAUAUCCCAAGUUGGAAGAGACCCCUCAGGAUUAUCAAGUUCAACUCCUGGCUCCACACAGGACCACCCAAAAAUCAGGCCCUGUGUCUGAGAGCUUUGUCCAGAUGCUUCUUGAACUCUGGCAUGAUUGGUGCCAUGACUGCUGCCCUGGGGAGCCUGUUCCAGUGCCUGACCACCCAAAGUAAUAAGUUAGGUAGCAGUGAAACCCACUCAGGCCCUCCUUUUUCAACCUCUGUUUCCUGUCUUUGUUUACUUACCUCGUCCCCAUUUUUAUCCAACUGUAUCUGUGUUGCAACAUCACCACCCCUGGGCAUUAGGGAUGUGCAGGUGAAAGAGGUUAAUGGGUGUAAUUAAGUGAGCACAUGUGUGUGGGUACAAUUAGCACCUGGUGAUUAUGGCGGUGAGGUGAUGGGCAUGGUGACAAAGGACAUUUCUGGUGACCUAGUUACUAAACGCUCUCUGGUAGUCAUGCUACAGUGCAAAACUGCAAACAGUGAUUAUUAAUACCAUUAAAAAUUCAUGCAGGCUCAGGUUCUGCAAAUGCUCUGCCAUGUGAGUGCUCUCUGUGGAGGUAAAGAGGGCACUACAGCAAGCAUGGAAAACCAAUGUGCAGGUUAACAGUGCACUUGCAAAGUGCCCCUCGGAGUUUUGGGCUUGACCCACCCCUGUGCUGAAUCCAGCAGCAUCCCAUCUCAGCAUCCCUCCCCUCCUGGAUGUUCACUAUGUAGCUGGCCCUCUGAUCCCUCCCUUGUUCAUUUUUGCAUGGGUAACAUGUGCAAGUGCAAACCAAAAACAACAGAAAUUAAAAAAUAAUACAAAUGCCCCUUUGUGUGAUACUCCUUCCCAGCCAAGAAGCAAAGGGAGAUGGGAUUUAAUUUAGGCCAAUCCUCUGCUGCAUUUCAGAUAAAGCAUUUUAAUCUAGUCCUAGGUUGAUAAAAAUACCCCUCUCUGAUCCUGCAGGCAACUUUUUCUGCCAAUUUUCUUUCCAGGGAGGAAGAGAGGAGGAAAUAUAAUUGAAAGAACACUGCUGCAUAGAAAAUGACACUGACGGAGUAAUGCACUUUGGAACGGUGUGCUCUGCCAGCUCCUUGUUUUCUACUAUUUUUUCCUCUUUUUACUUCAGAAAUUUCAAGCUAUUGGUAAUCAUCGGUAUGAUUAGCUCUUUUUUUUCUUCUUUUCUUGUUUUUUUAUUCCCUGAGCUUCAGCCAGGUAGAAGUCUUUUAAAUACAGAAUGAUGUCUCAUUCCAACUUGCACAGUACAGCUUGUUCUCUUUCACCCCAAGCUGAGACUUUUCAGGGUUAAUUUAUUCAUCUAAUUGUUGGAUGCACAUGUGGUAUUGCAGUCCACAGUGAUUUUAUGGACUUAAGGCUAUGGUAAUGACUUAAUAAACAUGCAUGUGUAC
ensembl:lncRNA